GCAGUGGUGGUUCAGUAGUAGAAUCUUCGCCUUCCAUGCAGGAGACCCGGGUUCGAUCCUCAGCUAAUGCA
rnacentral:tRNA from 1 species